GAUGAACGCUGGCGGCGUGCCUAAUACAUGCAAGUCGAGCGAACGGACGAGAAGCUUGCUUCUCUGACGUUAGCGGCGGACGGGUGAGUAACACGUGGAUAACCUACCUAUAAGACUGGGAUAACUUCGGGAAACCGGAGCUAAUACCGGAUAAUAUUUUGAACCGCAUGGUUCAAUAGUGAAAGACGGUCUUGCUAUCACUUAUAGAUGGAUCCGCGCUGUAUUAGCUAGUUGGUAAGGUAACGGCUUACCAAGGCAACGAUGCGUAGCCGACCUGAGAGGGUGAUCGGCCACACUGGAACUGAGACACGGUCCAGACUCCUACGGGAGGCAGCAGUAGGGAAUCUUCCGCAAUGGGCGAAAGCCUGACGGAGCAACGCCGCGUGAGUGAUGAAGGUCUUCGGAUCGUAAAACUCUGUUAUUAGGGAAGAACAUAUGUGUAAGUAACUGUGCACAUCUUGACGGUACCUAAUCAGAAAGCCACGGCUAACUACGUG
rnacentral:rRNA from 1 species